GGUGGUGGUGGUGGUGUGUGUCAUCAAUUGUGUACAUGACAUGCGGGGGAGUGGGGUGGGGCACUUACAUUGUACAUCAAUUUUAGGGGGGUUCAUUCACA